UGUACAGGAAUAAAAAGUAUAGUUAAAAGUUUGAAGUGUGAAAAACUUAUCAUUUUGUCAAUAGAUUUUAUCAUAAUUUCUUUGAAGAGGAAUAAAAAUUGAGAAAUUAGUGAUCUUACUUGCUCGUAUUGAAUCAAUUCACCCAAAUUUGAAGCAGUUUUGAACAUGAGUUGAGAACUGUUUUUGUUCUUUAUCUAUUGAUGCAACCUGAGGGUCUGAUAGAUUAUUGGUAGAAUGGCCUCAAAUUAAAAUACUUCUGUGACUUAUACUUUCAGCUAGAAGAGCCUUGUGGAAAUGGAAUCAACAGAAUUAACUGAUUCGAGUGAGUUCUGUAUGACCACAAUGGUGAUGAAUAUUUAGUGCGUAUCCUAGUAAAGAUAGUUUUGGAUGAAAACCAUUUAAUUUUUGACAACUCAAAUAAACUAGAGUCUGUCUAAGAUGGUGUUUGACAUUUCAUGUUCUCUACUGGUAGAAGGUAGGCUGCUUGUCUUGAUUUUCUGGAUCCUAGGCAUAACUAUACGUACUGAUUGAUGCCUCCCUCUGUCAGUGAGCCACUGUAAAGGACACCUCAAUUUGAUUUAGAAAUUGUUAAUGGCCAAAUGUUGUAAAAAAAUCACAUGCUUGCCCCAUAAAAUCCUAGAAUUACCCAAGAGUUUGUCAAGGACAAAGAGAGACACCAUAAAUAAAAUCAGAAGAGUUUAGAUUCCAUAAUUAAAAUCACAAGUUUAGAUUUCAUGUUACUUUUGAUACUUGAAUUAUUUAUUUUGGUUAUAUUUUGGUCCAGUAUUCUCACUACUCGACAUGCAGUUUCUUGUGUACAUCUUGGUGAUCAUUGGAUGGAUACUCAUUACAGGAACAUUUAUUUUGUGUGGCAUAUUUCUUCUUCUACACAAGACUGCUGAUCAUUUUCAUGGAAAUGGCAGGGCAGCACAAACUUGGAGGCCAUUCAGAUUAUUAAGAAGCCUGGAGGAUCACUAAAGGAUUCAUUUUUAGGUGAGGGACUUGUGUGCUCAAAGUGGACAUACACUGUGAUGGGUGUAGGCAGAAGUGAAGAAACUUCUUCAGAAGAUUGAAGGUUCUCACUUGACCAUGAAUUACUUAGCUAACCCUCCCUUCUCUGUUUUCUAGUUUAUUUUUCCCCAUUACUAGUUCUCUCUAUUUUUCAGCUCUUUAACUGUGUUUGAAGAGUGGUGUUUUGGUUAAUUUGUCCACUGAUAUUCCUUACUCUAGACCUCAAUGAUGUGGGUUUUGUGUGAAAUGGAUAAAUUUUAACAAUGUGCUAUGGUUAGGGCAUUCAAA